AGCUUUUGUUUCCAGUAGCAGAUUUUCAACAUUUUUCUGGGAGGGGUCCUGAGAAUGAUAUGUAUUUAAAGAGUAUCUCUAUUAAUAGAUGCUCCUUUUUUGGACGUUUAUUGAAAUUAUAUCAGUUUCUUGGGGGUCAAGAUCCCCUGAACCCCCCUCUACUCUCCGUAAAUCCACCACUAAUAUUUUCAUGGUGUACAAGUUAGUUUUAACAAAUUUAAUUGAAAAAAAAGGAAAAAUAAUAAAAUAAUGCGUGUAGAUAUAAAAAAUAUUUAUAGAUUUGUAAUAGGUUUUAGAAACAAUAUGAAAUUAUCAUUGUUUAUUUGGCUAAUACAACUAUAAUAGUUAACUAUUUGU